AACCCACAGAGCCCGCUUUGAACCCGACUAAAUCCAGCGUUUUGUCCAGUUUGGAAGAGGCUAAGACUUCCGGUGUUUUGACCACAGGGAGCGCAUCGCUACACGCCCCAAAGCUGCCAGCCAUGCACACACAGCGUGGGAACAUCUGCUGAGCACACACAGGAACACCUGGUGAGGGGACAAGUAUCAUGCUGAGGGCCUGUGCAGACCCCCACCAAGAUGAGCCUGCAAAUCAAAAGCUUCAGAGGUGAUUCAUCUCUUCACUGGAGUCUCCGCUUUUCAUCUGGAGUUAAGACUGAAAGGGGCGACACUUUAACUUAUGGCUCCUCAUAUCUGCAUCCGCGAGAAUUUGGCGUUCGUCUUUUCUUCCCAUGCAUCGCAGCCCGAGGGCACGGCAGUCAGGCACAUUCGACGUGCGACGCCAGGAGCUUUGACCUAUCUUUGCUCACAAAGGCUGAGCCUUCGGUGGAUGCUCGUUUUACACCUGAAGACGAUGCCCCCCCCCCCCCCCCCCCCCCCCCCCCCCCCCUCAUCCGUUGCCAGUUAACCUGCUUAUUUUAGAAUCGCCGGUUUAAGGAAACGCCAACAAAAUUUUGAAGCACAACCAAACAAGUUGUUACUAAUGCCAUUUACUGAACGAAAGAACGUCUCAUCUUUUUAAAACUUGUCAUAUCACACAUUGCUAAAAAUUCAGGGUUCAGUAGGUUUUUUUUUCUGUUUAAAAUAGUCAUAGAUGCAGACAUUUUUGGGGCUCACGUCACAAAUAUGUACAAAUUAGGACAACAGUGGCAUGAAACAAGCUCUGACUAAUGUUUGACAUUGAUGCUGAAAGUGUUGCUCAAAUUGAAUUACCAGUGAUAGUUACUGGGUCUAUUCCCACGUUUUCAAGCCACUGUAAGUCAAAUCAAAGACUGCACUUGUACAUUUCUGAUGGAGCUGAUUAGCUGAGAUUUCAUAUGUUUAAAUUUAUAUGAACCUUUGAUUGAUUGAUUGCUUAUUUACUAAUAAAUAUAUAAUGGUUUAUUUAAAUAAAUAUUUG
rnacentral:lncRNA from 1 species